GGCGGCCGAUGUCAGAUUAGCUAGUUGGUGAGGUAAAAGGCUUACCAAGGCGACGAUCUGUAGCGGGUCUGAGAGGAUGAUCCGCCACACUGGAACUGAGACACGGUCCAGACUCCUACGGGAGGCAGCAGUGGGGAAUUUUGGACAAUGGGCGCAAGCCUGAUCCAGCCAUGCCGCGUGAGUGAAGAAGGCCUUCGGGUUGUAAAGCUCUUUCGGCCGGGAAGAAAUCGCAUGGGUUAAUACCCUGUGUGGAUGACGGUACCGGAAUAAGAAGCACCGGCUAACUACGUG
rnacentral:rRNA from 1 species